GACGAACCGUGCGAACGUUAUUCGGAAUCACUGGGCUUAAAGCGCGCGUAGGCGGCUUUGCAAGUCGGGUGUGAAAUCCCCAGGCUUAACCUGGGAACUGCAUUCGAGACUGCAUUGCUAGAGUAUGGGAGAGGGAAGUGGAAUUUCCGGUGUAGCGGUGAAAUGCGUAGAUAUCGGAAGGAACAUCAGUGGCGAAAGCGACUUCCUGGACCAAUACUGACGCUCAUGUGCGAAAGCGUGGGGAGCGAACAGG
rnacentral:rRNA from 1 species